rnacentral:rRNA from 1 species
UACGUAGGGACCAAGCGUUGUUCGGAUUUACUGGGCGUAAAGGGCGCGUAGGCGGCAAUUCAAGUCAUCUGUGAAAUCUCCGGGCUUAACUCGGAAUGGUCAGGUGAUACUACUUUGCUAGAGUGCAGAAGGGGCGAAUCGGAAUUCUUGGUGUAGCGGUGAAAUGCGUAGAUAUCAAGAGGAACACCUGAGGUGAAGACGGGUUGCUGGGCUGACACUGACGCUGAGGCGCGAAAGCUAGGGGAGCAAACGGG